UACAGAGGGGGCAAGCGUUAUUCGGAAUUAUUGGGCGUAAAGGGCGCGUAGGCGGCUUGGCAAGUGGAAGGUGAAAUCCCUCGGCUUAACCGAGGAACUGCCCUCCAAACUGCUUCGCUUGAGACCGGGAGAGGUGAGUGGAAUUCCCAGUGUAGCGGUGAAAUGCGUAGAUAUUGGGAGAACACCAGUGGCGAAGGCGGCUCACUGGACCGGUACUGACGCUGAGGAGCGAAAGCAUGGGGAGCGAACAGG
rnacentral:rRNA from 1 species